rnacentral:rRNA from 1 species
UCAUGAUAGUGGUGCAUGGCCGUUUCCAAUGGAUGCUGUGAAGUAAUGAUUAAUUUCAACAAGAUGUGAGACCCUCAUUUAGACAGAUGUAGUGAUACAUAUGAAGGAGAGGAUUAAAACAGGU